UCUUGACUAGUAUAUCGGUUCAGUACACCCGCUUGUCAAAAUCGAUUCCGCGGGAGAGCAGGGUUCGACUCCCUGGUCGAGAG